rnacentral:rRNA from 1 species
AAGCCCUUCGGGGUGGAUUAGUGGCGAACGGGUGAGUAACACGUGGGCAAUCUGCCCUUCACUCUGGGACAAGCCCUGGAAACGGGGUCUAAUACCGGAUAACACUCUGUCCCGCAUGGGACGGGGUUAAAAGCUCCGGCGGUGAAGGAUGAGCCCGCGGCCUAUCAGCUUGUUGGUGGGGUAAUGGCCUACCAAGGCGACGACGGGUAGCCGGCCUGAGAGGGCGACCGGCCACACUGGGACUGAGACACGGCCCAGACUCCUACGGGAGGCAGCAGUGGGGAAUAUUGCACAAUGGGCGAAAGCCUGAUGCAGCGACGCCGCGUGAGGGAUGACGGCCUUCGGGUUGUAAACCUCUUUCAGCAGGGAAGAAGCGAAAGUGACGGUACCUGCAGAAGAAGCGCCGGCUAACUACGUGCCAGCAGCCGCGGUAAUACGUAGGGCGCAAGCGUUGUCCGGAAUUAUUGGGCGUAAAGAGCUCGUAGGCGGCUUGUCACGUCGGAUGUGAAAGCCCGGGGCUUAACCCCGGGUCUGCAUUCGAUACGGGCUAGCUAGAGUGUGGUAGGGGAGAUCGGAAUUCCUGGUGUAGCGGUGAAAUGCGCAGAUAUCAGGAGGAACACCGGUGGCGAAGGCGGAUCUCUGGGCCAUUACUGACGCUGAGGAGCGAAAGCGUGGGGGAGCGAACAGGAUUAGAUACCCUGGUAGUCCACGCCGUAAACGUUGGGAACUAGGUGUUGGCGACAUUCCACGUCGUCGGUGCCGCAG